AGCAGGGUAAUGGCGGCUGGUGCUAACCAUGGGAUGCUAACUCCACAAUGUAUGGAUACAAUUGGUCAAAAUCGAAGUCUCCAGCUACAACUUUAGAGCAAAGAGACAAACCAUAAAUGUGACAAAGCACAUGCUCCUGGAGCAGUUCAAGUCUGCAACACUGCCAUAGGUGGAACUUGCAGCACAUGGUCUUUAGCUGAGCCAAGUGCAUCUAGCAAAGAGAGUGACAUGCAGAAGAAAGUUAAGCACGAGGUGUCGCUAAACCAGACACAAUCCACCAACCAAACCAUGGUUGCUUGAUAAAACUAUUAUUAUCUAUCUCUAAGUCUUUAGUUGCUAUCUUUCUGAACUGUUCACAAUAAUUGCCUAUUCAAUGUUUAGAACUUCAAUCUUAGACCA